UGCAAAAUGAUGAUAUAAUAUAUCUGAACCAUAAGCUGAAGCAUUCAAAAAAUAAGUGCCUUUAAAGUUCUCUGAUUGCC
rnacentral:snoRNA from 1 species